CCUACGGGAGGCAGCAGUGGGGAAUUUUGGACAAUGGGCGAAAGCCUGAUCCAGCAAUGCCGCGUGAGUGAAGAAGGCCUUCGGGUUGUAAAGCUCUUUUGUCAGGGAAGAAACGGUGAGGGCUAAUAUCCUUUGCUAAUGACGGUACCUGAAGAAUAAGCACCGGCUAACUACGUGCCAGCAGCCGCGGUAAUACGUAGGGUGCAAGCGUUAAUCGGAAUUACUGGGCGUAAAGCGUGCGCAGGCGGUUUUGUAAGUCUGAUGUGAAAUCCCCGGGCUCAACCUGGGAAUUGCAUUGGAGACUGCAAGGCUAGAAUCUGGCAGAGGGGGGUAGAAUUCCACGUGUAGCAGUGAAAUGCGUAGAUAUGUGGAGGAACACCGAUGGCGAAGGCAGCCCCCUGGGUCAAGAUUGACGCUCAUGCACGAAAGCGUGGGGAGCAAACAGGAUUAGAUACCCUGGUAGUCCACGCCCUAAACGAUGUCUACUAGUUGUCGGGUCUUAAUUGACUUGGUAACGCAGCUAACGCGUGAAGUAGACCGCCUGGGGAGUACGGUCGCAGAUUAAAACUUAAUGAAUUGACGG
rnacentral:rRNA from 1 species